UCCUUCCUCAGCCAGUGACUUAAGGCUUCAAGGAAAGGAAAAAAUCCCACCGUGCUCAGGCCCAUGGCAGACUCCUCAGCCCCCAGGAGAAAGGCUUUCUGCCUGCUGCUCAUGCGAAUUCACUGAGAUGUGGAGAAGGCUUCAAGACUUCCCUGCAGAGCUAGGUACCUGCUAAGGAGGGGCCAGACCCCAAGCCUCGCCCGGGCCGGCCGGUGCUGCGCCACCCAGCGAUGGAGCCAACGGGUGGUGGAUUUGGAAGUUGUAGGAAAAGUUGGACUGAACACAGCUGCCCCGGCCCUCCCCAACCCCUCCGCCUCCAGCUUGAGGCAGUGUGGAGAUCUUCUCUGCGGAAGAAAAGGGAGGCCACGCCCAUUCCUGGACACCUCCCCUUCCAGUCCUGCCCCUCGCGCCCCCCAGCCUCCCAGGCCUGCGCGCACCAGCCAUCAGCAUCGAAAGCACAUCUCUGGGUGGCCCUUCGUUGUGGGAAGACAAAACCAGGUUUUCAGGCACAUCUCUUCUCCCUUUCAUUUUGGGGAUGCAGUCUCUGAAGAAACCGGAAAGAUUAGAAUAUUUUUGAGAACGCCUUUCAAUGACCUCAUCAGCAAAAAGGAGGGUUGGCAAGAAUUGCUGCAAUAGUUAUUUCUCAAGCCUUCUAGCAUUUACCAUGUUCAGUCUCCAACUGUUCUCUGCAGGAAUACAGCUUAGUUUAAUGAAAAAAGAAUGUUAGAAUGACAUAAUGGUGUUUAAAUAUUGAUACUUACCACAAGACUUUGAAUAAAUUCCUUAACCUUUCUAUACUUCUUCAUCUGUAAAAUGGGCAUAAUAAUACCCACUUUGCA
rnacentral:lncRNA from 1 species